rnacentral:ncRNA from 1 species
GAAAGCCGUAUACUCUGAGAGGAGUACGUACGGUUUGGAGGGGAGCUCUUGGAAACCUGCUUAGGCAACUAAGCAAGGCGCCGGGUCCUUACCCUAC